AGGAAAUUUCGUUUUUAACGAAGGGUUUAUAGAGGGAUAAUUAUUUAGUUGUAGAUUUAUAAAGAGUGUAUUUUUAAAUUGUUUGAUUAAAGAAAGGUUAAAUUUUGUGAGUGGAACGUAUAUAUUAUAAAGUAUUUUUUGAGAAUGAUUUUGUUUGGUUAUUAUACGAAGAUAUUUUUUUUUUUGUUUUUGGUUUUAAAGCGUUUGAAAUUUUUAGUUGUAAAUUUUAUAAAAAGGGUGUUUAAUAUUUGUUUUUUUAAAGGAAAGUUUAAUUUUAUGAGUUGAAUAUAUAUAGUAUAAAGAAGUUAUUGAGAUUUUUUUUAUUAAAUAUUAUAUGAAGAAAUUUCGUUUU
rnacentral:misc_RNA from 1 species